GGCUUGCUCCCAGGGGGAAGUGGCGAAAGGGGCAGUAAGGCGUGGGUAACCUACCCUGGGGUCCGGCAUAGCCGUCCUAACGGACGGGUAAUUCCGGGCGACGUAACGCGAUCGCAUGACCGUGUUACCAAAGGUUUUCCGCCCCGGGAGGGGCCCACGUGGUAUUAGCUUGUUGGUGGGGUAACGGCCCACCAAGGCCAAGAUGCCUAGCGGGUGUGAGAGCACGACCCGCGCCACUGGCACUGAGACACUGGCCAGACUCCUACGGGAGGCUGCAGUCGAGGAUCUUCGGCAAUGGGCGCAAGCCUGACCGAGCGACGCCGCGUGCGCGAUGAAGGCCUUCGGGUUGUAAAGCGCUGUCGAGGGGGAGGAAAGCCCGCAAGGGUCUGACCUAUCCCUGGAGGAAGCACGGGCUAAGUUCGUGCCAGCAGCCGCGGUAAGACGAACCGUGCGAACGUUGUUCGGAUUCACUGGGCUUAAAGGGCGCGUAGGCGGGUUUUCAAGUCCGGGGUGAAAUCCUCUCGCUCAACGAGAGAACUGCCCUGGAUACUGGAGACCUCGAGGGAGGUAGGGGCAUGUGGAACUUCCGGUGGAGCGGUGAAAUGCGUAGAUAUCGGAAGGAACGCCGGUGGCGAAAGCGACGUGCUGGACCUUUUCUGACGCUGAGGCGCGAAAGCCAGGGGAGCAAACGGGAUUAGAUACCCCGGUAGUCCUGGCCCUAAACGAUGGGUACUAGAUUGGAGACUGACAUGGGUUUCCAAUCGAAGCUAAAGUGUUAAGUACCCCGCCUGGGGAGUAUGGUCGCAAGGCUGAAACUCAAAGGAAUUGACGGGGGGCUCACACAAGCGGUGGAGCAUGUGGCUUAAUUCGAGGCUACGCGA
rnacentral:rRNA from 1 species